UAUGGCCACAUCAUGUUGAAACAUUGGUUCCCAUACAAUCACCAAAGUUAUGCAACAUUGAGUGUAGUCAGUACCUAGAUGGGUGACCACUGGGAAUACUAAGUGCUGUAAG